rnacentral:lncRNA from 1 species
AUUAUAUUAUAUAUAAUAAAAUGUCUUGAUAGGCUUAUUUUUGUCAGAAUUAUUUUUAAAAACCAAGAAAAAAUUAAGCAAAAGAUUGAUACCAGCUGGGGAUAUAGCUCAGUUGGUAGAGUGCCUGCCUCACAUGCACAACGCCUGGGUUCAAUCCCCAGCACCACAAGGAGAGAGAAAAAAAAGAUUGAUACCCAAUUCAGUAACUAUCAAUGAGGGGUCUCAACAUUCCACAUACCCAUACACAUCACCCCUCAAGAAACGACCAGAAUUCCAAGGGGCAUGAUUUGUAAAUGCAUAUUAUUUUUCAAAUUUGUAUAAAUGUGCCUAUCUUUUUUAAAAAGCUAGCUCAAGAAGUGAAGCUCAGUAGAAUCUUCUUGGCUAGAGAGUAUGUGCAAAAGACAGAUUCUUACCCAGCUGGGCACACAGAAGGGACAGAGGUGUGGGAAAGAUAUGGGAUUUUUCUUUUGGGAAGGGUAUAGACUUCUAAGCCAGAGAAGAAGCAAUCCAAGUUUCAUCUGAGACUGGAAAUCUCUAAGUACAGGGGAACACCCUAUGACUAGAAGAAUUCACAGUAGAUCUUUGUGUUGCCAAAGGGCAGAUAAAACCCAAAGAAGGGAUGAAUAGAUGGCUGGUGAAUAUGGGCAACAAUAUCCAUUUAGUUUAACUUUGCUGGAAGUGGUUCACCAUUUUUAAGACUUAAAAAAAAAAAGUUUUGAAAUGGGAUCUCACUAUAGAUGCUCAGAUUGAUCUCAAACUCCUGGACUCAAGUGAACCUCACCUCCCAAUAGCUAGGACCACAGGUGUGUACCACUGCACCUGGCAAUGAUUAAAUAUUUUUUCAACUUUAUCUAGUGAAGGAAAUAUGUAUCUUUAAACUCAUAGAAAAACAAUUCACUUCUAAAAACUAGCUUGUUUUUGGAAUAUAUAGGCCACAAAUAUAUUUUAUAUACUGUAACCCUCUAUAGUCUCUG